rnacentral:lncRNA from 1 species
GGGUUGCGGGAAAGCGAGCGGGGCGUUCUGGAAGAUCUGGCUGCGGCUCGCCAUGUUUGAUCCUGGCAAGAGCGAAAGGAUCCAGUUAGAAUACCUUCCUCCUGCCCAAACUAAUAAACCACGUGCCGACCUUUUGCUUUUUAUUGGCUGCUGAUGACUGGUCAGAAAAUGUUAAAGAACUUUAGAGUUUCUGCCGUGGAGACACAAAAGUCCGGGACGUUUUUUAGAACUCUGUGAUCAGAGAAGAAGAGAUUGCUAAAUAGGAAAUAAUUACGGGAAUGAUGCAAGACAGGCUAUUAUCAAGUUCUGAAUUUUAAGGUGCAAAAUAGAAGUGUUGUAAAAGUUCACAGGCAGGGAAGAUUUGUGGCAGGUGUCGUCCAGAACUUGAAGGAUGACGGUCACCCACAAACACACAUAUGUGUUGACAUUGUAUUAUUGCCAGUUUGGAGAUAGCGUUGGGGACAAUGGACAAAGUUAUACCCACGGGGCAAUAUGGAAAAAGACAACUGUUUGGUCAUUCUGACCCUGGAGCACCUUGAACUCCAGGUCCAACCAGUUGCUGGAACCAAGUUCCAAGAAGGCAGCUUCCUGAAAUAGGACUGGAGGAAAAACUCACAGAUAUACCGCGUGCAUUGCUGUAGCCCCAAAGUUGGACAAGGCAUUGUUUCUUUUUCAUGACUUUGCUUCUCCACCCUGAUUGAUUCACUCAGUUCUCCACCCUUUUCUUGUUUUCUUCUUUUUCUCUCCUAUACAUGUUUUCUAUUUGCCUGAGCUGAACAUGUUGAAAACUGAACUCAUAAUUUCCCUCCUCAGACCUGCUCAUUUUCAUUUAUUUGUUCGUCUCUGUUAGUGGCAUGAUGAGCAACCACCACUAAUCCCAGCCGGAAGCCUGCAACUCAUCUAGUCCAAACUCAGUCCUCCCUCACCCUCCCACCCCCAUCAGUACUGAAGUCUUUCAUAUGCUUAUUACCUCCUAAAAUUUAUUAGACCUGUCCUCUCCUCAGCAGCCUCUCUCUCAAACUAUUGGGGUAGCUGCCUGAUUAAUUUCUCUGCCCUUUGGCCUUGACAUUCUCAGGCUCCUCUGGGCUGCAGGGAUCUAAAUGCAAAUCUGAACAUGUCAACAUGUGUCUCUAUCAUGGACUCAGUCAAGGCAAAGCUCCUUAACCUAGAUAGAACACACCCAGCAGCAUCUGGCCGCUGCCUGACCUACCAUCUUCCUCUGUUUCUCCCUCCUUCUCUCUCCCACACUCUCCCUUUUGAUGGGCAAUUUAAGCUACUUGCAGUUCCCCAAACACUCCUAUGCUUUUUCACGCCACUGAACUUGUGCUUAUGUUUUUCCCUGUGCUUGGAACACCACCUGGUUGACCCUACUCAUCCUCAAAACACAACUCAGGAUUUACUUUCUCUUAGAAACAUUCCCAGAUCCCAUGUCUGCCCCCUAAGCCAGUACUUCUCAAAUCUUAACGUGCACAUGAUUCAUCUAGGGAUCUCGUUAAAACUCAGACUCACAUUCAGUCAGUCUGGGCUGGAGCCAGAAAGUCUGCAUUUCUCAUGAGUUUCCAGGAGAUGCUGCUGCUGGUCCAACUACACUUGAAGUAGCAAGGCUCUGGGCUCUAGCAAAAGCCCCUCCUCUUCUGAGUUCCUGGGCUAACCUCUGUGUGGCACUAUCUCCCCUGCAUUAAAUUCUUUGUAUAGAUUUCUGUCCUUCCACUUUUAAAGCUCAUUGAGAUUAGAACCAAGUCUUCUUUGUAUCCUAAGUGCCAAGUGCUUACAUUUACCAAGUAAAACUGAGCUCUCCCUGACCUUUUUAAAAUUUUUCUCAUCAUUGUUUUCCCUCCCAUUUACGUUUUGGCAAAGGAACUCUUUUGUAACCUGAGAUUUUCAGGUCUUGGCAUGACUGGAAGGAAAUAAACAUUGGGUCACUAUAUUUGUGCGUCAUGUGCAUACACACGCACACACCCUUCUCUCCCCUGAGAGAAAACUGACAGACAAAGAACUCCUAACUCCAGAAGAAAGCUGGCCUCGGCACAAACACAUGGAGAGCCGGAAGACAGACACAGCUCUCUUCUCCUCUUCCUUCCUGUUUCCUAGAUAGGAAGUGUUCUUACUGGGGCGGGUGGCCAGACCCCAGAGACAUCUCAGAGUACCUGAGGGUUUAUCACGCUGUCCCUCAAUUCAUAUAUUGAACAAAUGUUCAUCGAGCACCAACUAUGUGCCAAACAUGGUUUUCUGACUUCAUUGUAAGCUCUUUUCUACUCCCUACAGUCUAGCCAGGCUAUCCAGCCUGUUGCCUUUUUGUUAGGCUCAGAUUUUUACCCUGAGGGGCCAAUGGUUUGUGCAAAGUCUUAAGCCAUUUCAUCUUCCAUAUAUUUCAUAAUAGGUGGCAGGUUAGUAAAUGCCAGACCAGCAAAGUCUAUGGGAAAAUAGAAUAGGGUUUUUUAAGUGCAGAGGUAAAAAGGAUGUGUGAGCUGAGGCUCAGAGAAGACUGAAGGAAAAGGAAGAAAUGAGGGGUCCACCCAGGGCCUGAUCCUGAGGGACUUGUCAAAGAAGCCCCAACAUCCACUCCCCAG